rnacentral:rRNA from 1 species
AUUCCAGCUCCAAUAGCGUAUAUUUAAGUUGUUGCAGUUAAAAAGCUCGUAGUUGGAUUUCGGGCGGGGCCUGCCGGUCCGCCUCUGGUGUGCACUGGCAUGGGCUCGCCUCGCUGUCGGGGACGGGCUCCUGGGCUUAACUGUCCGGGACUCGGAGUCGACGAGGUUACUUUGAGUAAAUUAGAGUGUUCAAAGCAGGCCUACGCUCUGAAUACGUUAGCAUGGAAUAACACGAUAGGACUCUGGCCUAUCUUGUUGGUCUGUGGGACCGGAGUAAUGAUUAAGAGGGACGGUCGGGGGCAUUCGUAUUUCAUUGUCAGAGGUGAAAUUCUUGGAUUUAUGAAAGACGAACUUCUGCGAAAGCAUUUGCCAAGGAUGUUUUCAUCA